rnacentral:rRNA from 1 species
GACGUAGGAGGCGAGCGUUGUCCGGAUUCAUUGGGCGUAAAGAGCACGCAGGCGGUUUGGCAAGUCGGAUGUGAAAACCCGGAGCUCAACUCCGGACCUGCAUCCGAAACUGCCCGACUAGAGGUAGGUAGGGGGAGAUCGGAAUUCCUGGUGUAGCGGUGAAAUGCGCAGAUAUCAGGAGGAACACCGGUGGCGAAGGCGGAUCUCUGGGCCUUACCUGACGCUCAGGUGCGAAAGCUAGGGGAGCGAACAGG